rnacentral:tRNA from 1 species
GGGGGCAUAGCUCAGUGGUUAGAGCACAUGUUUGGCAUGCACAUGGUGGGUUCAAUCCUCAGUGCUUCCA